rnacentral:rRNA from 1 species
UUGGAGGGCAAGUCUGGUGCCAGCAGCCGCGGUAAUUCCAGCUCCAAUAGCGUAUAUUAAAGUUGUUGCAGUUAAAAAGCUCGUAGUUGAAUUUCGGGGUUAGUAGGUUGGUCAUGCCUCUGGUAUGUACUGGUCUCACUGAUUCCUCCUUCCUGAUGAGCCGUAAUGCCAUUAAUUUGGUGUUGCGGGGAAUUUGGACUGUUACUUUGAAAAAAUUAGAGUGUUUAAAGCAAGCUAACGCUUGAAUACAUUAGCAUGGAAUAAUGAAAUAGGACGUUCGAUCCUAUUUUGUUGGUUUCUAGGAUUGACGUAAUGAUAAAUAGGGAUAGUUGGGGGCAUUAGUAUUCAAUUGUCAGAGGUGAAAUUCUUGGAUUUAUUGAAGACUAACUACUGCGAAAGCAUUUGCCAAGGAUGUUUUCAUUAAUCAAGAACGAAAGUUAGGGGAUCGAAGACGAUCAGAUACCGUCGUAGUCUUAACCAUAAACUAUGCCGACUAGGGAUCGGAUGAUGUUAAUUUUUUAAUGACUCAUUCGGCGCCUUACGGGAAAC